UCACAAAGGUAAAAAGGCAACCUAAUUUAGAGUAGCUUCCCUGUUCUGUUAAUAAAACUUUGGAAAAUUGAAACAGGAUAGGAUAAGUGGUUGGAUAGAAAAGUACUGUUCUAUUCACUUAUGUCCCAGUCUACAAAA
rnacentral:snoRNA from 1 species